rnacentral:rRNA from 1 species
CGGAUUGCAGGCUGCAACUCGCCUGCAUGAAGCUGGAAUUGCUAGUAAUCGCGGAUCAGCAUGCCGCGGUGAAUACGUUCCCGGGCCUUGUACACACCGCCCGUCACACCAUGAGAGUCGGGAACACCCGAAGUCCGUAGUCUAACCGCAAGGAGGGCGCGGCCGAAGGUGGGUCCGGUAAUUGGGGUGAAGUCGUAACAAGGUACC